rnacentral:rRNA from 1 species
GGACGAACGCUGGCGGCGUGCUUAACACAUGCAAGUCGAACGGAAAGGCCCUGCUUUUGUGGGGUGCUCGAGUGGCGAACGGGUGAGUAACACGUGAGUAACCUGCCCUUGACUUUGGGAUAACUUCAGGAAACUGGGGCUGAUACCGGAUAGGAGCUCCUGCUGCAUGGUGGGGGUUGGAAAGUUUCGGCGGUUGGGGAUGGACUCGCGGCUUAUCAGCUUGUUGGUGGGGUAGUGGCUUACCAAGGCUUUGACGGGUAGCCGGCCUGAGAGGGUGACCGGCCACAUUGGGACUGAGAUACGGCCCAGACUCCUACGGGAGGCAGCAGUGGGGAAUAUUGCACAAUGGGCGGAAGCCUGAUGCAGCAACGCCGCGUGCGGGAUGACGGCCUUCGGGUUGUAAACCGCUUUCGCCUGUGACGAAGCGUGAGUGACGGUAAUGGGUAAAGAAGCACCGGCUAACUACGUG